rnacentral:tRNA from 1 species
GGGGUUGUGGCUCAGUGGUUGUGUGCUUGCCUAGCAUGCAUGAGGCACUGAGUUCGAUUCUCAGCACCA